AUUGAACGCUGGCGGCAUGCUUUACACAUGCAAGUCGAACGGCAGCGCGGGGCAACCUGGCGGCGAGUGGCGCACGGGUGCGUAAUAUAUCGGAACGUACCCAGAAGUGGGGGAUAACGUAGCGAAAGUUACGCUAAUACCGCAUACGAUCUACGGAUGAAAGUAGGGGACCGCAAGGCCUUAUGCUUUUGGAGCGGCCGAUAUCUGAUUAGCUAGUUGGUGAGGUAAAGGCUCACCAAGGCGACGAUCAGUAGCUGGUCUGAGAGGACGACCAGCCACACUGGAACUGAGACACGGUCCAGACUCCUACGGGAGGCAGCAGUGGGGAAUUUUGGACAAUGGGCGCAAGCCUGAUCCAGCAAUGCCGCGUGAGUGAAGAAGGCCUUCGGGUUGUAAAGCUCUUUUGUCAGGGAAGAAACGGUAGAGGCUAAUAUCCUUUGCUAAUGACGGUACCUGAAGAAUAAGCACCGGCUAACUACGUG
rnacentral:rRNA from 1 species